rnacentral:rRNA from 1 species
UCUAGCCUACGGGGCGCAGCAGUGAGGAAUAUUGGUCAAUGGUCGGGAGACUGAACCAGCCACGCCGCGUGAGGGAGGAAGGUACAGAGUAUCGUAAACCUCUUUUGUCAGGGAACAAAGACUGGGACGCGUCCCCGGAUGAGUGUACCUGAAGAAAAAGCAUCGGCUAACUCCGUGCCAGCAGCCGCGGUAAUACGGAGGAUGCGAGCGUUAUCCGGAUUUAUUGGGUUUAAAGGGUGCGCAGGCGGUCUGUUAAGUCAGCGGUCAAAGCCCGGGGCUCAACCCCGGCCCGCCGU